AACGAACGCUGGCGGCAUGCCUAACACAUGCAAGUCGAACGAAGCCUUCGGGCUUAGUGGCGCACGGGUGCGUAACACGUGGGAAUCUGCCCUUCGGUUCGGAAUAACAGUUAGAAAUGACUGCUAAUACCGGAUGAUGACGAAAGUCCAAAGAUUUAUCGCCGAAGGAUGAGCCCGCGUAGGAUUAGGUAGUUGGUAGGGGUAAUGGCCUACCAAGCCGACGAUCCUUAGCUGGUCUGAGAGGAUGAUCAGCCACACUGGGACUGAGACACGGCCCAGACUCCUACGGGAGGCAGCAGUGGGGAAUAUUGGACAAUGGGCGAAAGCCUGAUCCAGCAAUGCCGCGUGAGUGAUGAAGGCCUUAGGGUUGUAAAGCUCUUUUACCAGGGAUGAUAAUGACAGUACCUGGAGAAUAAGCUCCGGCUAACUCCGUGCCCAGCCAGCCGCGGUAAUAGUGUGUGUAA
rnacentral:rRNA from 1 species